rnacentral:rRNA from 1 species
GACGAACUCUGGCGGCGCGCCUAACACAUGCAAGUCGAACGAGCGAGAGAGAGCUUGCUUUCUCAAGCGAGUGGCGAACGGGUGAGUAACGCGUGAGGAACCUGCCUCAAAGAGGGGGACAACAGUUGGAAACGACUGCUAAUACCGCAUAAGCCCACAGGUCGGCAUCGACCAGAGGGAAAAGGAGCAAUCCGCUUUGAGAUGGCCUCGCGUCCGAUUAGCUAGUUGGUGAGGUAACGGCCCACCAAGGCAACGAUCGGUAGCCGGACUGAGAGGUUGAACGGCCACAUUGGGACUGAGACACGGCCCAGACUCCUACGGGAGGCAGCAGUGGGGAAUAUUGCACAAUGGGGGAAACCCUGAUGCAGCGACGCCGCGUGGAGGAAGAAGGUCUUCGGAUUGUAAACUCCUGUUGUUGAGGAAGAUAAUGACGGUACUCAACAAGGAAGUGACGGCUAACUACGUG